AUUGAACGCUGGCGGCAGGCCUAACACAUGCAAGUCGAGCGGAGCGGCGGUCGGGGGAGUAAUGCUUGUGAAUCUGCCUGGUAGUGGUGGAUAACGUCCGGAAAUGGGCGCUAAUACCGCAUACUAUCACAAGAGCCUAGGUCUGAUUAGCUAGCUGGUGGGGUAAAGGCCUACCAAGGCGACGAUCCGUAGCUGGUCCGAGAGGAUGAUCAGUCACACGGGAACUGAGACACGGUACAGACUCCUACGGGAGGCAGCAGUGGGGAAUAUUGAACAAUGGGCGCAAGCCUGAUCCAUCCAUGCCGCGUGUAUGAAGAAGGUCUUCGGGUUGUAAAGCACUUUAAGUUGGGAGGCGUUACCAGCAGAAGAAGCACCGGCUAACUUCGUGCCAGCAGCCGCGGUAAUAC
rnacentral:rRNA from 1 species